GUAAAACACCAGUUCUUGUCUGACCCCCGAAGUUAAACAACUAUGAGCCUGGUUAGUACCUAGAUAGGUGACCGCUUGGAAAUACAAUGUUCUG